rnacentral:rRNA from 1 species
GACGAACGCUGGCGGCGUGCCUAAUACAUGCAAGUUGAGCGCUGAAGGUUGGUACUUGUACCCACUGGAUGAGCAGCGAACGGGUGAGUAACGCGUGGGGAAUCUGCCUUUGAGCGGGGGACAACAUUUGGAAACGAAUGCUAAUACCGCAUAAAAACUUUAAACACAAGGUUUAAGUUUGAAAGAUGCAAUUGCAUCACUCAAAGAUGAUCCCGCGUUGUAUUAGCUAGUUGGUGAGUUAAAGGCUCACCAAGGCGAUGAUACAUAGCCGACCUGAGAGGGUGGUCGGCCACAUUGGGACUGAGACACGGCCCAAACUCCUGCGGGAGGCAGCAGUAGGGAAUCUUCGGCAAUGGACGAAAGUCUGACCGAGCAACGCCGCGUGAGUGAAGAAGGUUUUCGGAUCGUAAAACUCUGUUGGUAGAGAAGAACGUUGGUGAGAGUGGAAAGCUCAUCAAGUGACGGUAACUACACAGAAAGGGACGGCUAACUACGUG